UACGGGGGGGGGCAAGCGUUGUUCGGAAUCACUGGGCGUAAAGGGCGUGUAGGCGGGACAGUAAGUCGGGCGUGAAAUCCCUGGGCUCAACCCAGGAACUGCACUCGAAACUACUAUUCUUGAGUGUCGGAGAGGAAAGCGGAAUUCCUGGUGUAGCGGUGAAAUGCGUAGAUAUCGGGAGGAACACCAGUGGCGAAGGCGGCUUUCUGGCCCGUUCUUGACGCUGAGGCGCGAAAAGCUAGGGGUAGCAAACGGG
rnacentral:rRNA from 1 species